GAGACGUUAGUAAACUUAUUACAUAGCCUUGUCAAGACUAAAUCACAGGUGAAAAUCCUGUACCUCUCA
rnacentral:tRNA from 1 species